UACGAAGGGGGCUAGCGUUGCUCGGAAUCACUGGGCGUAAAGCGCACGUAGGCGGCUUUCUAAGUCAGGGGUGAAAUCCUGGAGCUCAACUCCAGAACUGCCUUUGAUACUGGAGAGCUCGAGUCCGGAAGAGGUGAGUGGAACUCCGAGUGUAGAGGUGAAAUUCGUAGAUAUUCGGAAGAACACCAGUGGCGAAGGCGGCUCACUGGACUGGUAUUGACGCUGAGGUACGAAAGCGUGGGGAGCAAACAGGG
rnacentral:rRNA from 1 species